UACAGAGGGUGCGAGCGUUGUCCGGAAUCACUGGGCGUAAAGGGCGCGUAGGUGGUGACCUAAGCGUGCGGUGAAAGCCCGAGGCUCAACCUCGGGUCGGCCGUGCGAACUGGGUCACUCGAGCAGAAUAGAGGCAGGUGGAAUUCCGGGUGUAGCGGUGGAAUGCGUAGAGAUCCGGAAGAACACCGGUGGCGAAGGCGGCCUGCUGGGUUCUGGCUGACACUGAGGCGCGACAGCGUGGGGAGCAAACAGG
rnacentral:rRNA from 2 species